GAUGGGCAUGGUGGCGCAUGCCUGUAAUCCCUGUAGCUCAGGAGGCUGAGGCAGGAGGAUUGCAAGCUCAAAGUCAAAGUCAGCCUCAGCAUUUUAGUGAGGCCCUAAGCAACUUAGUGAGACCCUGCCUCAA
rnacentral:sRNA from 1 species